UCAGACCCGCGCGCCUCCAUCAAACAGCCGCGAACCACUCCAGGAAGCUAACAUGGACGGUGUCGAGCAAAUAUCGCUCCAACUCUCGCGAUAUUUGAUGUAACGCUGAGGCGGAAAUCAUUUUAAGUUGAAAAUGCAGAAACAUCCAAAGAAGAGCUUCAGGAAGCCCGGAGAACUUUGUGCUGUGAGCUGCGCAGAGCUCACACUGAGCUGAAGGAUGAAGCUGCUCACACCACAGAUUCACCUGCAGGCUCUCACCCCCUGAUAUACUGCACUUCCAUGUAUCUA